rnacentral:rRNA from 1 species
CCCUUAGAUGUUCUGGGCCGCACGCGCGCUACACUGACUGACUCAACGAGUUUACAACCUGUGCCGAAAGGUAUGGGUAAUCUUUUGAAAUUCAGUCGUGAUGGGGCUAGAUUAUUGCAACUAUUAAUCUUCAACGAGGAAUGCCUAGUAAGCGCGAAUCAUCAGUUCGCGUUGAUUACGUCCCUGCCCUUUGUACACACCGCCCGUCGCUCCUACCGAUUGAAUGGUCCGGUGAAUCUUUAGGACUGUGGCUGAGGCCUUGCCUUGUGCGGGUCUGGCCGUGGGAAUUUAGUUAAACCUUACCAUUUAGAGGAAGGUGAAGUCGUAACA